AGAGAAGCUCUCUUUUGCUUCAGCCAAUGGGCUGUUCUGUGGACCACCCACAAAGCUGGGUGGAGCUGGACUGUCAAGCUCAACUUUGACCUCAGAUAUCCCAACGGUAAACACGAGCACCAGACCUGACUGGGUGGUUGAGGGAGCUCCUGGUGAAAUGUGCUGAGGCUUCUGCUGAGGUUUCUACCUCAGCUCCACGGCCUGGCCAGGUAGGAAUGCAAUUCACCUUCCUGUCAUGUUUCUGUCCUGGCACUCCAGACAUUCGGGUCAGACAGACCUCACUAUCUCCAAGCUGCAGUGAAUCUGAGAGCCAUGAAAGGUUCAAUGGAUUGAAGAAAAUGUUCACGGAAGGAAGAUGAUUAAUUGAUCCAGAGGGCCUGUAGCAACUCUGUUUAACAUGCUAGAUGAGCCAGUCUUAUUCAGUGAUGACUAAGGAUCUAGAGAAAACUGGUGUCAGGUUGGUCUUCUUCUUCCCACCUAUUUUCAGUUGGCCUGCAGUUCCUAGGAUGUGUAUCCUGUAUGCUGGUCACCGGAAGAUAGGCAAAUUUUUGCUUUGUUGCUGGUUCUGGGACAACAGCCAUGGUAAGACCACUUAUAUCAGUUACCUAUUACUACCUAAUAAGAUCUUCCACAACUUAGCGGCUUAAAACAAGAACUAUUCUUUCUUUCAAUUCUGUGAGGGGGCUGGGCUCUGCUGAUUCAUUUUUCUCUUCCAUAUGCUAUCAGCUGGAAUCCUUACAUGGCUGCACUCUUCUGGGGUUUGGUAAUGAGGCGAGAAGGCUUUACUCACAUUAUUUGGUGGUUGGUUCUGGCUGUUGGGUGACAUUUCUCCCCACACGUCAUGUGUCUGGUUGACUAGCAGAACUUCUUUACAUAGUGGCUCAGGACUUCAAACAAGAAUGAAAAGAGAAACUGCCUGGUCUCUUAAAGCCUGGGUCCUGAACCAAAGUGGUGUGAAUCAUUUUUUUCAUAUUCUAUUGGGCAAAACAAAUCACACGGCCAACCCACGUGCCAGGGGAGUGGAAGAGAAAUAGUCUUGAACUGUGAUGGGCAUGUGCCUAUAAAAAUGGGAAUAUCUCUUGUUGGCUGUCCUUGCAAAUCACACACCACACCACCCGUAGUACGCAAAUGACAUCAGAGCUGGUAAGCAAUCACAGCACCUCAGAUACCAAGGCACAGAGCCAGAGGCACAGGUAUACUCACAUUCUUCUGAAUUCCAUAAGCACAAAUAUUAUCUUUUUGCCUCACAAAGAUUGCCAGCUCAAGUUUGUAGGUGAUUUGAUAAUCACAUAUGCAGAGAUCUUUUUGACUCAUUCUACAGAGUAAGAUGUCAUAGAGAAAAAGAUAGCAGAGGAAAUGCACAAAUAAUAAUUUAAUGACUCCAGGAUUUCUUCAGCUCAAAGUAGCAACCAAAACUUUGGCCACUGAUUUCAUGGUUAAAGAAAUUUGGUCAUAGUGGGAAAUAGAGGGCUUUGGAAAGUCAUACCUGAAGUUUAAUCCUGACUCCAUGACUGGGAGCUUUGUGAUCUUGGCAAAUAACCUAAUUCUCUUAGUGUAAUUUUUCUCUUAUAUAAUAGGGGAAUGUCAAAAAUUUAUUUGGAUAUUGUGCAUUUUUCCUUUUUUUGGAAGAAUAGAUUUUGUUCCUCUAUUUGAUAAAAGACAGAAACUGUACAUCUUGAAAAUAAAGGCAUUGGCAUUUUAAAGUGAUCAGGAGUUCUUGCAGAAUUCCAAACAUGCAUCUUCUGGAAAAAGAAACCCUGUAAAGAUAGAGAUAAAACGUAGGUUUUUCAUUUGCCCCAUACUGUAUGCAUAUGAAUGUUUUACUUUUCUGUUUGAUCUUUAACUGGUUGGGGAGAGGACCUGUUGUUUUUCUUCCCUAUUCCCCAAAUCACUUCUCUGCUUUCUCAGUCUCUCAUCAGUGUUCAUGACACCUCAGACCUGGGCAAUUGGAUUCUUGCCCAGGGUCCUGCACUUCAGAGGGGUCCAUUCUAUUCUUCCUCUAGCUUUGCCAUUCGUCAAGCGGGGAGGAGUCUGAAUGGCAAAAGGGAUGCCCCCAUCCAGGGUCUGCAUCUCUCCCAGCUCCACUUUCAGCAUGUGAGACCCCAGGAAGCCCUGAGCUUUCAACCCUAGGCCACAGGGUUGGCUGAGGGGCAGCUAUUUGAGAGGAUGGGUAUAUUCAUACCUGACUAUACCCACAAGUAUCCACAUGACACCCCUCAUAUGUAGGACAGUGAGGGAGGGUAGGAAAAACAGAGCAUUUGAAAGUGUCUAUUUAUAUUUAUAUCCUAGGACCCAUAAAUGUUAGAGGCCUGCCCUGUUUGACAGCUAGUCAUAAUCCUUUUUUACAGCUGCAGAAAUGGAGAAAACUGGGGGACUAGUCUCCAGUUAUAGAGAGGCAUGGGCCAGAGACACGACUAGAACUCUGGUUAUUGCCAUGGCCGGCUGCUCCCCUCACUGGAAAAUAUUUACCAGCUGUAGAGGGCUAAGCUUUUCCUCAGAAGCUUUGCUUCUCUGGAAAAAUAAAGAGAAAAAUUCUUGCCCCUUACUCUGGAAAAAGGUGCUGUAAAAACUAAAGAUAUUAUAGUGUAAUCCUCAGAACACUAAUCCUAGAGGUCAGAGAGCAGAAACCUGAAUCACAGGUUCUGCUGGCUUGCUCAAAUGCCAUGUUUAGCAUCCAAAUUCUCUAUAAUUGAUAGGUCAGUAGUAGCUUAAAGAUUAUAAGCUUUUGUAAAUGGGUGACUAGCUCCUGAAGAAAGCCACAAAUUUCACCUGAUAAUACCCAAGUAAAAUAGUUACUGUGAGUUUUAGAAAUGUUGCCAGAAAUAAAUUGAAGAGUUUUAUGUCUUGAAAUUUGGUGCUGUUAAUUUCUUUUCAGCUGUCACUGCUAAAUCCCCUGUUAACUGAAACACCUUCCAAAGUUCUCUUUAGGUUAACUCGGUAUUCUAGGCAAUCUAUAACUGGCAUCUUCUUGCUCCUGAAUCACAUUUCAGAGCAGACUUCACACAAAAAAGAUGAUGAUGUUAGGUGAUCUUCAGUUAAUAGUCCCUUUAAAUUUACUAUCUUCUUGGUAUCUCAGUUUGCUGGUUUCUUGAAGAUUUUCUAUUUAAAGAAUGAGCAAAUAAUCUAGAAUAGCGAAGACAUAUGCUCUGUGAAAUAUAGUCUUUGCUUCAUCUAAAUAGAAAUAGCCAUGCAUUCUGUUCUAUGUCUCACUCCCUUGACAAAGUUGGACUAAUAAAAAUUCAGUUCCAGAGACUAUGUAUAUAUCCUGUGCAUGUAUAGGCAAUUAAGCAAAUAUUUGCCCCAGAAAUUAUUUAUUAUUGGAAAUCUAUAUUUACUUAAAUGAGCAGAUCAUAGAUACUAGAUUCAAUAAUAUCAAUUCCACUGGCUUUGUGAUCUUAUAUCACUCGACCUUAGCUGCCUUCAGUUUCUUCAUAUAUAAAAUAGUGACUGAUAGUCCCUGUCCUAUAGUUUUUAAAAAAUAUCAGAUGAGAUUCUGUAUGUAAAAUGCUUAUUAUAAUACCAGGUACAAAGUAAGCCCUCAGUAAUUCAUAGUUAUUUGCUUCAGUAAACAAAUCUUUGACACAGAGUGCACUGCUGAAAAAUAAGAAGGCUUCUUGGUGACCGCAAGGUUAGGGACUACUGGAUUCAAUAACAUCACAUAUGUCCUUUGAUUCAUAUGUACAUAUUUAGGUGCUUAAAGUGGAAAAAUUCAUAAAUCAUUAUAAUUCUCACUGAUUCUUUCUGCCUAUUUCCAGAUGACUUCUUGGCAGUCAUUUGCAGACUAAGGUAGCUUUGAAGGUGAAGAUUCUUUGUGUUCAUUCUCAUCCUGAUGUAAAAAUACUACCUGAGACUGGAUAAUUUAUAAACAAAAGAGGUUUAAUUGAUUCACAGUUCCUCAUGCCUGGGGAGGCCUCAGGAAACUUACAAUCACAGCGGAAGGCAAAAGGGAAGAAGGCACCUUCUUCACAAGGUGGCAGGAGAGACAGUGAGGAAGUGCCAUACUUUAAAACCAUCAGCUCUCAUGAGACUUCACUCAUGAUCACGAGAACAGCAUGGGGAACCUUCUCCCAUGAUUCAAUCACCUCCCACCAGCUCCCUCCUCGACAUGUGGGGAUUACAAUUUGAGAUGAGAUUUGGGUGGGUACACAGAGACAAACCAUAUCUAUCAAUUCUGAAUGUUUAAUACCAGUAUUAUUAGAGGAGGAUCUAGUCCCCUUCAGGACAUAAGGAUCUAUGAUCCUCUGUCAGAACAUAUUAGACCCUUUCCUUUGGCUAUAACCAAAAGAUUAUAAACAUACAUCCAGGAAUAAAAAUAGUAUAUUAAAAUUGUGUGUGUGUGUGUGUGUACGAAUGUAAAUUUUUUGUGCCAAAUCUAAAGACUCUUUACCUAGUCCUAAUGUGUCUUGAAGAUCUUCUGCAGUUUUUUUUCUAGAAAUUUUAUAGUUUUAUGUUUUACAUUUAAGUCUGUGAUUCAUUUUUAGUUAAUUUUUUUUGUAUAAGAUGUGAAGCUUAGGUUAAGGUUCAUGUUUUUGCCUAUGGUUGUUCAAUUGCUCUAAUAGCAUUUAUUGAAAAGGUUAAUGAUUUAUUUGUACUUCUGCCAAAAUUAAUUGAUCAUACUCAUGUGGUCAUACUUCCGCUUUCUCUGUUUUAUACCACUUAGCUUUGUCUAUCUUGCUAUCAAUACCACACUGUCUUGAUUACUGUAGCUAUAUAUUACUGUAGCUAUAUAGUAAACUUUAAUAAAAGGAAGAUGAACUUUCUUCUUCUUUUUUCAAAAUCGUUUUGGCUGUUUAAGGUCUUUUUCUUUUGGUAUACAUUUUAGAGUAAAAGUACAUACUUCUGUGAAAUACCUUACUAAGCUUCUGAUAGGAAAUACGAUAACACUGUAGAACAGUUUAGGGAGGACUGGUAUCUUUACUAAAUCUUCUAACCCAUAAACAUGAUAUUUAGGUCUUCUUGUCUUUCACCAACAUUUUGUAAUUUUCAACAUGUAGAUUCUAUACAAUUUUGUUGAGAUUAUGUCAUCUGUGAAUAAAGACUGUUUUAUUUCUUUUCCAAUUUGUAUGCCUUUUAUUUUUUUGUGUGCUUGUUAUAAUGACUAGAACUAAUAAAUCUCUUUUAUUUUCAAUCUGUCUUGUGGCCUGCUUCUCAGAGGAUCUGGAAAAAUUCAUGUAGCAAAGUUAUAAGCUAUCUACCAACACCAAAUAUAGAUACAUAUGAAAUAAUGUGGAGAAGUGCAACACUUGAUGAGUUUGCCAUAUGAAAAGCUAUUCCUCAAGACAAAACUGGAUCUUCUAGAGUGGAACUUUUCAAAUUAACAAUGGCAAAGGACACUUUCUUUUUAACUUUGCAAUUCCUUGUAGACUCAUACUUUUGUAAAAUACUAGAAAAAAAUGCAUGACAAAAAUGCCAUAAAAGACAUCAAAUAAAGUCACAUUUUUUAGAAUAAACAGACAUAAUGCUUACUAUCUGUAGUUAUUUCAAGACCAGCCUGGCUAACAUGAUGAAACCCUGUCUCUACUAAAAAUUACAAAAAAUUAGUUAGGUGCAGUGGCACGUGCUUGUAAUUCCAGCUAUUCAGGAGGCUGAGGCAGGAGAAUCGCUUGAACCUGGGAGGUGGAGGUUGCAGUGAGCCAAGAUCAUGCCACUGCACUCUAGCCUGGGCUACACAACAAGACUUCAUUGCAAAAAAACAAAACAAAACAAAACAAAACAAACAAACAAAAAAACACAGGACAAGUGACAAGUGAGCAGCUGGUAAAUCAAUAAAGACUAAUGUGAAAAGUGAUGUUUACAUAAAUAGCAGCCUAAUUAAUCCCUUGAAAUACGAAUGUAAAUACUUCAAGAUGUUUACAACCUUGGAUGUGUCAAGUCCCAGGUAUUUCAAGGGCUUCCAGCAUCUUUUUCAUGUUUUACCCCCAACAUCUUUUAAAGCAGGAAAUAAGAGAAUCAUUUUCUUUCUCAAGGUGAGAUUUAAAACUGCGCUUAGGUCUUGCUUAGAAUUGGAAUACGUGUUCUUCUUGACCCAGCACAACAACUAUAACUCUCCAAAAAUAACAAGUUGUUUUCUGGCAGCUCCUAGAACAAAACUCAAUCACAUCAGAAAGUCUCUGAAGAAAAGGCUUCAGAAGGCAUUCUUGGAAAUAAGCAGAAAUGUACUUGAUAAUAAGAAAAGGAAUGGAACUGGCUUAACGACAUACAACGUGUGUGUGCAUAUGUGUAUUCCCCUUCUUCUUACACCACACCUUCUUUUAAAAUUCUCAGAUUCAUUACACAUUAAUUGCCAAUCUUCUAUUUGUGAUGAGAAUAAAGUUUGUGUGCUUUGAUGUAAAAGUUUGAUACUUGAACCCUAAAAUUAUUUAAAGAAUAACAUCAGCUUCAGCAGACAGAUAUCUUGGCACUGUCAUAAUUUUAAGUUCUGUGUUUGCAACUGAAAAAUUCAGAAACUGACCCAUUUUGAGGUGGGAGGAUAGGGUUUGCAUCAAAGAAAGGUAAUUAUCUGCCCUCUCUCAAGUUCAGGGAGCAUGCUAGACCCUACCAGAAGCAUAGGUAGAUAGUCAGAGAGGGAACUUGACUUCACCAAGCAUUUUUGUGUUCUUAUUGGUACAACUGUGCAUUUCCCAGACUUUCUUAGAUUUGCGACAACCACGUGACUAGUUCUCGUCAAUGGGGUGUGGGCGGGAGUCAGGAAGGUCACCUCCGGGCCUGGCCCAUAAGUUCCCUCAAAAUCGUUCAUGUUGUCUCUUCUCUCAUCUGCCUGCAGAAUACAAAAGAUUAAAUGGAAGGCUCUGGAGCCCUGAGGAAUAGCAGUUACUAGACUGAAGGAACCUGAGUUUCUAGAUUGCGAUGUUGAGCAGAGUCCCUGCUAACCCAGGAAAACUCUGAUGUGAGAAAGAAGAAAACCCGGAUUGCACUAACUCACCGAGAUUUCGAAGUUUAGUUGUUCGGCGAUGAACUUGUCCUGAACAACAUAGAGGAACAGUGGGAAAUACAUGGAGUGUGCUUAUAAGAAGCUAUGGUAGGCAGGAUUUCAAGAUGUCCUUGUGAUCUCUGCCUCCUUGUGUUUCUCCCAUGACUAUGUCAUGUUCCACAGCAAAAGGGAUUUUGCAAUGUAUUAAGGGUACUGAACGGUUGACCUUAAGAUCGUGGGAUUAUCUGGGUGGGCCUAAUUUCAUCACAUGAGUCCUGUAAAAGAAGUGAAUUUUCUCUAUUUGGUAGCAGAAGAGGCAGUCAGAGACAUCUGAAGUGUGAGAGGGAUUCAGUGCUGAAAUGGAGAAGGUCACAUGGUAAGAACCUGAGAGUGGCUUCUGGUAGCUGAGAGUGAUCCUUGGCAAGAUAAUGGAACCUUAGUCCUAGAGCCUCAAGGAAAUUAAUUCUGCUGACAAUCUGAGGGAACUUUGAAGCAGAUCUUUUCCUAGUUGAGCCUCCAAGUAAGGAUUUAGCUAGCUAGCUGGUACUUUAAUUUGAGCCUUAUGAGUCUCUGAGCAGAGGACCCAGGGAAAUAAAGUCAGGCUCCUAAUGCAUGGUGAUGAUGACGUGAUAAGUGUGUUUUGUUAAGCUACUAAGUUUGUGGUAAUUUUUAAUGUAGCAAUAAAAAACUAAUGCAGAGAGUGAAAAGUGCUGUGUCUAAGAUAUGUGGCAAAAUCAGGGUUAGUCCAUGCUGGUGUCACCAUCCAAGGAAUUGGAUCUGGUGAGCAGAAUGUGGCAGCAGGAGGCAGUGUGAUGGUGACAGUCACAAGGAGAUGGGUUCUGGGGCUGCAGUUUGAGGGUUGAAGCAGCUGCUGUGGAUUUAAGGAUCUGAGAACUCAGGCACAGAAGAGGAGGUCUGGCAAAAUCUGGGCAGAUUUUGCCCAAGAAAUGGCCUGGGGUCAGAGAUUGAGUCUAAAUCUCAGUGUCAAGAACUGAAGUUCACUUAAUUCUUUUUUUUAAAGAAACUUCUCGUUUAAUAAACUAGGCUGCUGAUUUUGAGAUAUUUACUUAUGAUUUUUUCAUGGUUCUUCAGAAUUAUCUCAGAGGGGUCUGAGAGGCUGAGCAGACAUAGCCUUAGUGACCCAUUUCUGUUUUAGCCAGGGCAGCCCUGCAUGUAGGUAUUUAUAUUUAGGGUUCCAUAUGACACUGCUCUUGGAAAAAGACCUUCAUUACUAAGACUGUUAGAAAAUGCCUAAUUUAGGGAAAAGCCAAGUAUCUUUGGGAAAAUGUGGGGGCUUCUCCUACAUAAGGAAGCAAGGCUAACUCUAGACCCCACAAGAGAGGGCUUGGUUCUCAUUGGUUCAGGUUCUGGCUGGAAUGAGACUGAAGGAUAAAAUACCCUAGGCAAGGCUGGGCAAUCAAGGACUGGACAAGAUCUUGCUUGGCUUUAAAGGAUCCCCUACACAAUCCUCAGAGAUGGAAGCACAAUAGAUAAGGAUAUGUAAAAAUAUUAUGUACAAUACACAUUAUACAUAUAUAUAUACACAUAUAUGUAUAUGUAUAAAACAUGGAUUUCCUGACCUGCUCAUCUAAUCUGGCUCAUUUUGUGUCAAUUCCAGUGUCUUCAUUUCUAAUAAAUAUUUAUUAAAUACCUGUGGCAGGAACAGCACCCUGGAGUGACCAAAAAUAAAGGCAGCAAGCACCUGGAAGCCCAGGCCUCUGUCUUUUAACUCAGUUAAUGAGAUCUUUGGCAUAACCAUGUAUACACAUGAAAUUUUCUCCUCCUCAGUCUCUAAUUGUACCAAUUUAGUUGCCAUUAAGAUUAUUAGCAUAAUUCUACUUUAAUUACUGACAACUGUACCUGGUGCAAUGAGUGAACCUCCUGGGCAACUUCCUGAAAAGCACAGUUGCUCCAUCACUGCUGGGUAAUGGUGAUCAUAAGCUUUGCCAAGCAGAGAGACAAAGCGACACUCUGCCGACGCAGCCUCACUUGCAGUCUUCACCUCCCAGCAGCACCAUCAUGCUAUUGACCCCAUCAUUUUCUUGGGCUAGUUUACAGAAGCGAAGACAAAGGGAGAGAAAUCCACCCGUUGAAUCAGCCACUGUCUGAACCAAGGCAACAAUUCCCAUUGAUCUGACUCACUGCCUGGAAGAAGAUGGUG
rnacentral:lncRNA from 1 species